UACGGAGGGUGCAAGCGUUAAUCGGAAUUACUGGGCGUAAAGCGCACGUAGGUGGUUUGUUAAGCUAGAUGUGAAAGCCCCGGGCUCAACCUGGGAAUUGCAGUCGAUACUGCUCAGCUAGAGUGUGGGAGAGGGUGGUGGAAUUCCCGGUGUAGCGGUGAAAUGCGUAGAUAUCGGGAGGAACAUCAGUGGCGAAGGCGACCGCCUGGCCCAACACUGACGCUGAGGUGCGAAAGCGUGGGUAGCAAACAGG
rnacentral:rRNA from 1 species